GCAAGUCGAGCGAAGCGCUUAAGUUUGAUUCUUCGGAUGAAGACUUUUGUGACUGAGCGGCGGACGGGUGAGUAACGCGUGGGUAACCUGCCUCAUACAGGGGGAUAACAGUUAGAAAUGGCUGCUAAUACCGCAUAAGACCACAGUGCUGCAUGGUACAGUGGUAAAAACUCCGGUGGUAUGGGAUGGACCCGCGUCUGAUUAGGUAGUUGGUGGGGUAACGGCCCACCAAGCCGACGAUCAGUAGCCGACCUGAGAGGGUGACCGGCCACAUUGGGACUGAGACACGGCCCAGACUCCUACGGGAGGCAGCAGUGGGGAAUAUUGCACAAUGGGCGAAAGCCUGAUGCAGCGACGCCGCGUGAAGGAUGAAGUAUUUCGGUAUGUAAACUUCUAUCAGCAGGGAAGAAAAUGACGGUACCUGACUAAGAAGCCCCGGCUAACUACGUGCCAGCAGCCGCGGUAAUACGUAGGGGGCAAGCGUUAUCCGGAUUUACUGGGUGUAAAGGGAGCGUAGACGGCUGUGCAAGUCUGAAGUGAAAGGCAUGGGCUCAACCUGUGGACUGCUUUGGAAACUGUGCAGCUAGAGUGUCGGAGAGGUAAGUGGAAUUCCUAGUGUAGCGGUGAAAUGCGUAGAUAUUAGGAGGAACACCAGUGGCGAAGGCGGCUUACUGGACGAUGACUGACGUUGAGGCUCGAAAGCGUGGGG
rnacentral:rRNA from 1 species